rnacentral:snoRNA from 1 species
GCCCUGAGCUAAAAAAAAAAAACAAAACCUAGUCCCAUAUGGAUAAAAAGGAGGGAAAGUAAACCCACUCCAUAUACACCCCAACCCCGCCCCAGCCCCAGCCCCUGUGCCUGGUUUGUAUUGUGAAUGAGGAGACACAA